AGCAAAGGAACCCUAACCCUAUUUUGUCGCCGCCGUAUCCAGAUCCUCCGCGUCGCCGCCGUCUUCAGUUCCAAGGAACCCUAACCCUAGGCAUAUCCAUUUUGUGCUCACCCGUGCACAUGGUGGUGUUCAUCGCCUCUCUUGUUGUUGUCUGCCUCCGCCGUGCUUGUCGUCAUUGCUCCCAUGGUCACCCCUGCGUGCUAUCGUGUUCAUCGCCUCUCCAAUUAAUGUUUGGCUCAGCCGUGCUCGUUCUUGCGGAUCACGUGCUCAAUCGUGUGCGCUGCCGUGUUUAUGGUCUCUCUGGUCAUCAUCUGCCUCCUCCGUUUCAGGUAAGAGAGAAUGCGUCUUUUACCAUCAUUCAAUUUUUGGUUCUUUUCUUUGGUUCUGUUUUACUCUGUGGUUCUCUUUUGUAUAAAACGAAUUAGAUUAGUUCUGUUUUGAAUAAAAGAAAUUAUACAAGGAAUUAUAUUGGUUCUAUCUUGUAUAAAAGGAAUGAUAUUGGUUCUGUUUGAUUGUUACCAAGGUUUAACGUCUAAGGAACGAAUCAAAGAGGCUAGAUACUAUUGACUAAACGUUCCAAUACCGAACUAAUUUAAAUAAUAUUUGCUUUUAUAUCAUAUAUAUUACUAACAACAUAUGUUUUUUACAAUUUAACACACCUCUCAUAGCAAAGUACAGCUUUGAUGUUUUCCUAGGAAGUUCCCUCCAAGGGUAGCCGUUGUCUCCCGGGUAGCCGUGUCUCCGUCUUCUCUCCCAAGAGUCUCUCUUUGUUGAUUUUUAAUGUGAAAAAGUGAAAUUGAUAAUUUUUGCUGAUUUUGUGCUGCUGCUCUUUCUUUGAUUUCUGAAAUUUUGGUAAACAUUUGCUUGCUGCUGCUAACAGUGAAAAUGAAAUCAUUAUUGGAAAUUUUGUUUAGGGAUUAGGGAUUACUUGUUGCUGCUUGUAAUGUUUGUUGAAAUUUCAAGUUUAGUGUGAUUCGGGAUUACCUGUUGCCGUUGAAAUUUCAGGUUUAGUGUGAUUAGGGAUUAGUUAUUGCUGUUUGGUACUUGCUGCUGCUGUUUUAGUGUUUUUUUAGCUUGACUCAACUGUUUUUGAAUUUUUGUUGAUAGAUUUAUCGAUUUUAGUAUUUAGGGUGAUUAUUUGUUGCUGUAUUUUAAUUUUAGUUGCUGAUUGGUCGUGAUUUCUGGCUCUUUUUAGUAUAUUGUGCUGAUUGUAAGUGAUUUCUGGCUGUGUGAAUGUUCUUAUGUCUAGCUCUGUGAGUGUUGUUUUAUUUUUGUUUUAAGUCCCUAUUCUGUGCUCAGUUUUGAUUUUGUAGGAAAUUAUUUGACGUAUAUAAGAAUUAAGAAGGAAGAUUAUCCCAACAGCUACUCUGUUGAUUGAUUCAAGUCCCCCACAAGCUUGAAGAGAGGAACCCUUUUUCAUUGGUUUGUUUAUGGCAUUGCAUUAAAAUAUUAGCGUAGUUUGUUUGUUUAUUCAUUGAACUUCCACAAACUCACUUGUUUAUGAUCCCCUUUUGUACAGAAUAAACAAUUCUUGAGUCUUGCUUAGCUUUAUGUCAUGUGGAUUAUGUGCUGUUAAGUUGAACAAGCUUAAGAUUUCUUCUUUAAUGUAGUAUAUGCAGGCUAAUUUUGAAUUGGUAUAAUUAUACCACAGAGCUAUAGUUAUACCACAAAGCUAUAAUUAUAACCCGUUUAUUUCUUUGUCUUUUUUAUAUAUAUAUAUGGAACGAAUUAUUAUUUUUUCACUGCCAUGUGUAGAAAUAAUUAUUUUAG
rnacentral:lncRNA from 1 species